UUAAAUUGAAGAGUUUGAUCAUGGCUCAGAUUGAACGCUGGCGGCAGGCCUAACACAUGCAAGUCGAACGGUAACAGGAAGCAGCUUGCUGCUUCGCUGACGAGUGGCGGACGGGUGAGUAAUGUCUGGGAAACUGCCUGAUGGAGGGGGAUAACUACUGGAAACGGUAGCUAAUACCGCAUAACGUCGCAAGACCAAAGAGGGGGACCUUCGGGCCUCUUGCCAUCGGAUGUGCCCAGAUGGGAUUAGCUAGUAGGUGGGGUAACGGCUCACCUAGGCGACGAUCCCUAGCUGGUCUGAGAGGAUGACCAGCCACACUGGAACUGAGACACGGUCCAGACUCCUACGGGAGGCAGCAGUGGGGAAUAUUGCA
rnacentral:rRNA from 1 species